AACGCCUGGUACGUGUCUUUUGCAAGCAGAAGGUCAGGGGUUCGAUUCCCCUCAGCUCCA
rnacentral:tRNA from 2 species